CUAUUAUUGCAGAUUGUUUAAGAGUUCGGUGUUAUUUUCAGAUUUUCUAAUCUUUUAUUUAUAUUUCUCCCUUUCAGAUAUUAGUAAACACUCGGUCUCUGGGCAUAAAGAUUGUAACCAAAAUGUUGCUCAAGGCCGGUUUUUGGACAACACGGAUUUUGGCACAAGGAAUACUUCUGGUUGGCGCUGGACGGACAUGUCACACACACAGGACGAAAUUUGCUGCCGUUCCAUUAGCCGGGUUACUUGGCUUGGCUUAAACCCUGUCAUGGACACAAUUAUUUCCGCCAGGGAAUUCAACAUAAAUUGGCUGACCUCCUCCGUUCAUAGACUCGGAGGGGUCAGAGAUGGUUUUAACGGUUGGUGUAAAUGUUGGCGUUGCUUUAACUUGUUCGCACAACCGCAUUCACACACAACAAUAAAACACAAGUGUUAAUUACACACAAAAACAAAAUUUAAUUAAAUGUUUUUUGGGAGAUUCUCUUCAAAUUUCUGGUAUAGUGAAAUAAACAAAAUGUCUCCUUUGCUGAACACCAAACAAACUGCCCCGAUUUUCCCCCGUUAUGCCUUUUAUAUGGCCGCAGCCAUUUACAAUUUUCCGGGAUUCUCGCGCAAUUUUCCUGAUUCAUCACAUUACCUUUGUCGUGCCUACUGAGCCCUACAUCAGAGUUGUAUUUCUCUGGUUUAUAUGUUUUCCACCGGUUGGCAACACUGAUUUCUUCAACCUCUGCGACGAGCUUAACAUAUCCGGUUCAUUUUUCCCUGACCGGCAGCAAGCAAACAUCUCAUGUCGGGGACUUGCUGUUAAUUAUUUAUUCUUUUUUUUU